UGGGGAAUAUUGCACAAUGGGCGAAAGCCUGAUGCAGCGACGCCGCGUGAGGGAAUGACGCCUUCGGGUUGUAAACCUCUUUCAGUAGGGAAGAAGCGAAAGUGACGGUACUGCAGAAAAAGCGCCGGCUAACUACGUGC
rnacentral:rRNA from 1 species